CUCUCGGCCGGUGUCUGUCUACACUUGGCUCUUUCUGCCUCUCUCAAGCUGGACUUGGCGGCACUCUUCGGGGGGCUCUGUGCUCUCUGGUCCCAGGUUCAGGAUGAGGAAGCCGUUGCGAGCGUGCGUGCACACACGUCUUCUCCCACUCUGUGCCCCUUGGGUCUUCGCCGCCACCUGCUCCAGCCGGCAGCCCCCUGUCGAGGCAAAAUAACCAAUAACCAUUGUAUAGGCUGCUCAGUGUUUCUGGUGUGGAGCCACCCUUUCCCAAAUCCUGGCGAAGGCUGCAUGGGAGUGAGCUCUCUGGAGGAUGUGCCAUCGCCAGUGUCAGGGCUCAGACCUGAAGAUGUGUCCAUGUGACCAGAAAGCAGAGAUAGAGUGAUGUGGCCACAAGCCAAGAACCGCCAGCAGCACCAGAAGCUGGAAGAAGCAAGAACAGAUUCUCCGCUAGAGGGAACAGGAACUUGCCCACACUUUGAUGUCAGCCCAGUGACACUGAUC